GCUUCUGUGGCGCAAUUGGCUAGCGCGUUCGGCUGUUAACCGAGAGGUUGGUGGUUCGAGCCCACCCAGGAGCG
rnacentral:tRNA from 1 species